AAAGGUUGCCGAUUAGUGUGUAUAUAUAUAAUUGAGUUAGAAUACUCUCAAAAGCACCAAUCUCUUGGUGCUUUUGAGUUUUUAGCCCUUAGAUUUACUCCUUGAUUACUAAUAACCUUUGGAUUAAACACUAUUCCACCUACCACCACCUACCAGUAUCAUCUUAACCCUACAUCUCUCCUUCUAAUGACUAAAAACUCAAAAGCAUCAAAAAUUUAUGUGCACUAAAAAUUUCUGUGCACCAAAAAUUUUUUGUGCACUAAAAAUUUCUGUGUACUAAAAAUUUCUGCACAUAUAUAGUUUUAUUGCUGAAGUGUAGCGAAAUUACUUUAGGUACGGAACCUUUUUUUUUUAUUGUACGUGAGGCUGUAGGUGUGCGUUUGGUUCGGGGAUAAAAGGGGGGUUAGGCGGUUAACCCCCUUUUUAUUCCCAAACGGAAACAUUUGGGGGUGGGGUUUGUUAACCCCACCCUUAGCGGGUUAUCCGAAACAUUUGGGGGUAGGGUUUGUUAACCCCACCCUUAACGGGUUAUCUGGAAUAAUCCGUUAAGGGUGGGGUUAACAAAUCCCACCCCCUAGAAUUGGAGUGGGAUUAAGUUAAUCCCACCCCAAUUUAAUUUUUAAAUAUAAAUUUAAAAUUUUAAUUUUAAUUUAUAAAUUUUAAAAAUUUAUAAUUUCUAAUCUUAUAAUUAAUAUUAAUAUUUUUAAAUUUUUAAAUUUAUUUUUAAUUGUUUAAAUUAAAAUUAUAAUAAUUGGAGCAAUAUCAUUAUUUUCUAUUUAUAACUACCUGCUAUCUUUCUUAUUUUAUUUACUUCAACCAAACACUAUUUUGCUUAUACCUGAACUAAACCUAAUUAUCAACCAAAUACAAAAUUACUCUAACCCCAUCUUAACCCUGAACUUAAUCCUAUCCCUGGAAUAAAACCUACAUAACUAAAGUUAUAACCAAUGGCAUUUCUGAAAAUUCUAUUUAAACAACAUUGUAUCUAGGGAUCNUUAUUUUAAAUUUUAAAUUUUUAAAUUUGAGAUUUAAAAAUAUAUUUUUUAAUUUCAAAUUUUUUAAUUUUAAAAGUUAUCUAUUUAAAUUUAAAAUUUGAAAUAUAAAAUAAAAAAUUUAAAUUCAAAUAUAAUAAUUGGAGCAAUAUCAUUAUUUUCUAUUUAUAACUACCUGCUAUCUUUCUUAUUUCAUUUACUCCAACCAAACAUUAUUUUGCUUAUACUGGACUAAACCCAAUUCUCAACCAAAUACAAAAUUACUCUAACCCCACCUUAACCCUGAACUUAAUUCUAUCCCUGGAAUAAAACCUACAUAACUAAAGUUAUAGCCAAUGGCAUUUCUGAAAAUGCUAUUUAAACAACAUUGUAUCUAGGGAUCAUUUGGUUGCGUAUAGUGCAACUGUAUUGCAGUUGUAACUGCAUUUAAAUAUAAAUUCGAUGCUUGGUUUGGUGUAUUUAACUCCAACUAUUGCGGUAGAAAAUAAGAACUGCAUGAGGAGGCCCAACUACAGUAAUUGAAACUACGUCAAAAUUGGCCGCAGUUCCAACUGCAGCAGUUAAAAAAAAAAUUUUUAACAAAAGAUAUGUUUAUCUCCUUAAUUAUUUUUAAAAUAAUGUGGGCUCCCUGAGGUUGAGUGAGUGGUUGGUUGAAUAGUGUAAUCUAAUGGAUAAAAAUAAUCAAAAGUUAAAUCUAACGGUGGAAAACUCGAUAGCACCAAAUCCUUCGUGCUAUCGAUAGUAUCCCAGCCAGACUAUAUAUAUAUAUAUAUAUAUAUAUAUAUAUAUAUAAUUUUAAAAAUUAUUUCUCAACUAUAUGUAACCAAACAAAUUAUUUAUAGUUGCAAUUUUACUCUAUCCAACCAAACAGAAACAGAAUGCAUAUAACUAUAACUAUUAUAUUUCUAACUGUAUAUAUCUUCAACUCUACUAUAUUUAUAAUUACAUUAAAUG
rnacentral:lncRNA from 1 species